rnacentral:rRNA from 1 species
AUGGCGAGCUCGCUCUUCAUCGUCGGCGAGAUUGGAGUAAACGAUUACCUCGUCGCCUUUGCCGGGAACACCACCGUCGAGGAGGCGCGGGCCUUCGUGCCGCACAUCGUCGGCGCCGUCCGUUCAGUCGUGACCGAGGUGAUCGCCGCCGGAGCGAGGACCGUGCUGGUUCCGGGGAUGAUACCGCUCGGCUGCGAGCCACAGCUUCUCGCCCUCGACCAAAGCAGCGACCACGACCCGGCGUCCGGCUGCAUCAAGCCACUCAACGACCUCGCCGAGCUGCACAACCGCGCGCUAAACGGCAUGCUCCGAGAGCUCCGGCGAGCCAACCCGCGGACGGCCAUCCUCUACGCCGACCUCUACGGCGCCGUCGCCGACCUCAUCGCGUCGCCCCGGAAAUACGGGUUUAGGGACAAGCCGCUGGCGGCGUGCUGCGGCGGGAGCGGCGCGUACAACUUCAACAUGACGGCGUUCUGCGGCGCGGCCGGGACGGCGGCGUGCGCCGACCCGUCCGAGUACGUGUCCUGGGAUGGGGUGCACUUCACGGAGGCCGCCAAUAGGCACACGGCCUGCGCCACGUUGAAGGCCAACUCGCCUGCUUUGCUCGACUCGUGGACGGCGGAGGCGAGACGAAGGAUUGGGUGCACCUAA